GGGAAAGCAAGCUAGAAAAAUUGCAGUGGAAAAUGCCCUUAAGAAAUUGAAAAAGGGACCUGAUGGGCGUUACAUCAAUGUUUGGGAGGUUAUGAGUGAUUUGGACAUUCUGAUUGGUGCUUUUGAGAACAUCAUUUCGGGACCAGAAUAUGCUGAAUUGAGACAGGGAGGACCUAAGAAAUUGAAUAUGCAGUUCUUCAAAGACAUACAAGCUCGUAUGAGAGAUCCAAACUUUGAGUUCUCUCCUGAAAUAAAAUUGAAACCAAAGAGCAAAUUGGUACGUAGAAAGAAAUGGCAGAAAACAGAAUCUAGGCGUAGGAAAGCACGGAAGCGAUAGCUUCAUGGCGACACCUUUCUUUUUUGCAUUUAAACAUUGUACCAAUAGAUUUAUUUCUUAGUGGUUGAUUCCAAGUUUCUUUAACUAUUGGACGAGAGAUAAUUCAUUUCAAGAAGAAGAUGUGGCAGCUGUUAAUAAAAAUUCCUUACUGCUU
rnacentral:misc_RNA from 1 species